rnacentral:lncRNA from 1 species
CACCAGGAGACGAUGGAAGGUCUAUAGUGUUACAGCUCUGACCCAGGAAGUCCCAGGGUCUUGCCUUCCAGAAGGGUCGCGGCUCUUCCCUCCCUCAGUCCAACGAACAGGAGCACGUCACCUCCCGCAGCUCGGGGAGCUGGCCAGGAACGUGUUACAGCCCGUUUCGCUCCUGUCCGCAGCUGGGUGAGGCAGCCAGGAAAAUAUUACAGCUCUUCUCACGCCCGCCAUUCAGCAGGUCCUGACUUCUUGUGUGACAUCCAGAAGAAAGGGGUUACACAGACAGCUGGAGGGUGAGCAAAGUGGAGAAGUUCUCAGCAGAGAGGAGACUGGAGUGAGUUGCCCCUACCCGCAGGUGCCAACUGUAAUACAUCAGUAGCUGAACAGCUCAUUGCCCUCAAGUGUUCUUGCUCAUGCCUGGCUGAGUUAUUGAAGAAAUUGCUCAGAUCUCAAGCCCUUGUAGAUCACUGGUCCUGGCAGAUGUUAUACGUGAACAGAAAAGCCUGAACUAGGGAACUGACCAUGAAACUAAAAAGGAGAAAGCAUAUGCAAGUGGACACAAUAAACCAGCAAAGAGUACAUAGAACAAACAUUUUUUUUAGAAGGAUUAAAUGGGACAAUUAAACAAUUUGAUCAGCAUAAUGUCCAGCUCAAGGAUCUUGGAGGUGGUGAGGCAGCCCAAGUGGAAAGGCAGCAGAAGGGGUAUCCUUGUUUUACCAAUUACUCAUAUGUAGGAGAUGGUGCAUUAAAUGAAAUAUUCUCUGCUCUCUCCUAACAUCUACCCCCUCACACCAAGAGGAAGGCAUGUCGCCUGAACCUUUGCAGUAUUCAAUUAAAGUUCUAUUCACACGGUAUUGCAGUUGUUUGCUUAUCUUUCUUUCUUAUUAGACUUAAAACUUCUGGAAACUAGAGGCUAUAUUACUUAUUUGCCUCAGAGUCCUGUUGGCCUAUCAAAUGGCACACCUUCAAUCCAAGAAUGAAUUAAUUAAAUAAAUGUGAAGAAAAAAAAAAUCCAAGUUGCUUAUUUUUGUUAAAUUUAUUUUUCCCCAAAAUAUUUACUGAGAAAAUGACUCUGGGAAGAUAGCAGAGUGGAAAGCCCCAGAAAUGUGUU